rnacentral:lncRNA from 1 species
AUAUGAAUUUAAAUCAGGAGAGAUUUUCAUUAUUAAAAAAUCUUUUACGUGUGCAUCGAGCAAUUUAAUUUAUGUCAUCAAAUGUAAUGGGUGUAAAAAAGAUUAUAUUGGACAAACAGGAAACACUUUACGGAAAAGAUUUACUGUUCACCGUCAACAAAUCCGACAUAAAGAAAUUAGGAUGAUUAACGUAAGUGAACAC